rnacentral:misc_RNA from 1 species
AAGUCGUAACAAGGUUUCCGUAGGUGAACCUGCGGAAGGAUCAUUAACACGUAUCCACGUUAAUCACCCGAGAACUUACUUAGGACUAGCUGAGGCUCAAGUAAAAAGCUUAGGUUUCGGCUUAAGCUCCGGCCCACUUUUUCCACAAGUGGGACAUUGAACCUCGGCUUCCUAAGCUUGGUAUUCACCUCUUCGGAAGUGAACACCAACAAGAACCUUGCGAGGAGUCUCUCGGGACUCCUCAAAGGGUUCUUGACGAGUAAACCCCUUUUUCUUUUUUUCUUUUGCCUUGUGCAAAAGGGAAAAAACCCUAAAAGCCGUCUCUUUGUAGACCGCUUUUAACCGAAUACUGUACAACUCUUAGCAACGGAUAUCUUGGUUCUG